AUUGAACGCUGGCGGCAUGCCUUACACAUGCAAGUCGAACGGUAACAGGUUAAGCUGACGAGUGGCGAACGGGUGAGUAAUACAUCGGAACGUGCCCAGACGUGGGGGAUAGCUCGGCGAAAGCCGGAUUAAUACCGCAUAAGCUCUGAGGAGGAAAGCGGGGGACCGUAAGGCCUCGCGCGUUUGGAGCGGCCGAUGGCAGAUUAGGUAGGUGGUGGGGUAAAGGCUUACCAAGCCUACGAUCUGUAGAUGGUCUGAGAGGACGACCAGCCACACUGGGACUGAAAAGCGGCGCAGACUCCUAAGGGAGGCAGCAGUGGGGAAUUUUGGACAAUGGGAGAAAGCCUGAUCCAGCAAUGCCGCGUGCAGGAUGAAGGCCUUCGGGUUGUAAACUGCUUUUGUACGGAACGAAAAGGCGCCUACUAAUACUGGGUGUUGAUGACGGUACCGUAAGAAUAAGCACCGGCUAACUACGUGCCAGCCGCCGCGGUAAAAC
rnacentral:rRNA from 1 species